GCCGGGUGCGGUGGCGCGCGCCUGUAAUCCAAGCUACCGGGAGGCUGAGGCUGGCGGAUCGUUUGAGCUCAGGAGCUCUGAGCUGCAGCGGACUAUGCCGAUCGGGUGUCCGCACUAAGUUCGGUAUCGAUAUGGUGCUCCUGGGGGAGCCCGGGACCACCAGGUCGUCUAAGGAGGGGUGCACCGGCCCAGGUCGGAGACGGAGCAGGUCAAAGCCCCCGUGCCGCUCAGUAGUGGGAUCGCGCCUGUGAAUAGACGCUGUAGUGCAGCCUGAGUAAUACAGCGGGACCCAGUCUUU
ensembl:misc_RNA Metazoa_SRP Metazoan signal recognition particle RNA